ensembl:lncRNA
GCCCUUUGCCGUGGGGUGGCAGGAGGAGGAUGCGCAGCGCAUCCCCAUCCACUGCCUGGGAAUCACGCACCGGUUUGGGUUUGUCUCUGUGCUUCACCCCAUGGAAUGGCUGUCCUGCCCUGGAAGCGGCUGUUUGGGUGAACCUGUGGGCACUGCGUAGGGUAAAUGCUGAUUGAAUUAACACGGGGCUGCCUAGCAGUGCGCCAUCACAUGCCAUCUCUUCUGCCUCCAUCACCGCUGCUGGCAGAGCUUAUUUAGAGCACGCAAGGGAAGAGUUUGACCUAGAGCAGCUGCGAAGAAGGAAGCAGAAGCAAUUCUGCUGCAAUCAAUGGCAUUUCCCUGGAUUUCUUCUGGCCUUGCCAAGAGCAGAAUCUGCUCUCAAGUCUGCAGGAAGCAAAGUUUUCCUUCUUUUACAAGAGGCUUUAGCUCUAAUUGCCUCUUCCUGUGACAGAGCGGUUGUCCCUGCUUCCCUCCAGCUGGGCACGGCCAUGGGGCCGGGUUGCCCAGGGCAUGCUCUGUGCUCACAUGUGAUGGAGCGUUGAACUGGGGCUGCUUGGGCCCUGUGCCCAUUACAUAACUGAGAAGGGUUCAUCCCUGCAGGAAAGCGCAGCAGCUGUGGAGGUUCUAUUCCCACUCACCCCUCCAGACAUUAGGGUUGGAGAUGGAUCGUACUUGAGUCUAAAGGAGGUGAAUGAGGACUUCUACAGAUUUAACGUGAAACUCUAACAUCUCUUUCCACUAAAGCUUCUGUCAAUAAAUCAUUUUCUAAUUAUCAGCUAAGCGUUUCUAAAUGAUCUCUGCAGUGAUUCCUGAUGGAAGAUGUUGAGAGCAGCACUAAGGAGGUCUGAGAAGAAGGUUGCUCUCCUUCCUUCUGAAAGGCUGUAUGUAAAAUGCUCUUUUUUUCCUCACCUCUCAGAAUCCCAUCCCCUGAGUGUGUGUUGGGUGGGGUGUGGGUGGAAUUAACCCCAG